AUGAACGCUAGCUACAGGCUUAACACAUGCAAGUCGAGGGGCAGCAUGGUCUUAGCUUGCUAAGGCCGAUGGCGACCGGCGCACGGGUGAGUAACACGUAUCCAACCUGCCGUCUACUCUUGGACAGCCUUCUGAAAGGAAGAUUAAUACAAGAUGGCAUCAUGAGUCCGCAUGUUCACAUGAUUAAAGGUAUUCCGGUAGACGAUGGGGAUGCGUUCCAUUAGAUAGUAGGCGGGGUAACGGCCCACCUAGUCUUCGAUGGAUAGGGGUUCUGAGAGGAAGGUCCCCCACAUUGGAACUGAGACACGGUCCAAACUCCUACGGGAGGCAGCAGUGAGGAAUAUUGGUCAAUGGGCGAGAGCCUGAACCAGCCAAGUAGCGUGAAGGAUGACUGCCCUAUGGGUUGUAAACUUCUUUUAUAAAGGAAUAAAGUCGGGUAUGGAUACCCGUUUGCAUGUACUUUAUGAAUAAGGAUCGGCUAACUCCGUGCCAGCAGCCGCGGUAAUACGGAGGAUCCGAGCGUUAUCCGGAUUUAUUGGGUUUAAAGGGAGCGUAGAUGGAUGUUUAAGUCAGUUGUGAAAGUUUGCGGCUCAACCGUAAAAUUGCAGUUGAUACUGGAUAUCUUGAGUGCAGUUGAGGCAGGCGGAAUUCGUGGUGUAGCGGUGAAAUGCUUAGAUAUCACGAAGAACUCCGAUUGCGAAGGCAGCCUGCUAAGCUGCAACUGACAUUGAGGCUCGAAAGUGUGGGUAUCAAACAGGAUUAGAUACCCUGGUAGUCCACACGGUAAACGAUGAAUACUCGCUGUUUGCGAUAUACAGUAAGCGGCCAAGCGAAAGCAUUAAGUAUUCCACCUGGGGAGUACGCCGGCAACGGUGAAACUCAAAGGAAUUGACGGGGGCCCGCACAAGCGGUGGAGCAUGUGGUUUAAUUCGAAGCAACGCGAAGAACCUUACCAGGUCUUGACAUCCGAUGCAUAGUGCAGAGAUGCAUGAAGUCCUUCGGGACAUCGAGACAGGUGGUGCAUGGUUGUCGUCAGCUCGUGCCGUGAGGUGUCGGCUUAAGUGCCAUAACGAGCGCAACCCUUGUUGUCAGUUACUAACAGGUUCCGCUGAGGACUCUGACAAGACUGCCAUCGUAAGAUGUGAGGAAGGUGGGGAUGACGUCAAAUCAGCACGGCCCUUACGUCCGGGGCUACACACGUGUUACAAUGGGGGGUACAGAGGGCCGCUACCACGCGAGUGGAUGCCAAUCCCAAAAACCUCUCUCAGUUCGGACUGGAGUCUGCAACCCGACUCCACGAAGCUGGAUUCGCUAGUAAUCGCGCAUCAGCCACGGCGCGGUGAAUACGUUCCCGGGCCUUGUACACACCGCCCGUCAAGCCAUGGGAGCCGGGGGUACCUGAAGUGCGUAACCGCGAGGAGCGCCCUAGGGUAAAACUGGUGACUGGGGCU
rnacentral:rRNA from 1 species